AAAAAUUAUUAAUAAUUUAAACAGAGAUGAAAGUUCAGAUUCCUCUAAACGCUAUGUCCCAUCGAAGGAAGAAAUUACGCAAAAUUUGUUUGAUAUGACGCUGGAUGAUUUUGUAACUCAAAGAAGCAAACGAUUUCUAUCUCGACUACAGAUCGACGACAGUUUUCUUCGGGAAGACGUAUCUUCGUGGGGUGACAAUCCUGCUUUUUUGGAAGCUAGAAGACGAUUAAGUCGUUUGAAGGUCGUAAAUGACACUGCUGAAAGAGCUGUUAAAUUAAUGCAAGAUUAUAAUGGUCUUAUCACGGCUGAAGAAGAGCGAAAUCAGUUUUUGUUGCGUUGUGUUCAGGAACAUAGAAAUCUGUAUCCAGACUGUAAAAAAACUACACUAAAGAGAAGUUACCCUAAUUCAUUAUUAUUAUAAUUUGUAUUUAAAUAAAAGUUUGUAUUGAUAUUUUUUUAGUAUUACUCAUAUUUACUUUAUUUGUUGCAUUUUAAUUAGUUUUGGAUCAACCCAAAACGUCAGACCAAAACACCAUUUUUUAUUAAACUUUAGAGCCCGGUCGGCACAGGUUGCAAACAUGCUACAGAUAUGAAA